UGUGCUCUUCGUGCUCCUGAGCCGUUUUCGAUGAUGGAAUUUUCGAAUCGACGAUCGGCUCCGUUAAACUUGAUCUAGGGUAUUUGAAGUUUCUAGAAAAUAAUUUUUGCUAUUUUUUGAUAUCAUUUACUUAUUGAUCGAAAUGAUUUAAAAUCAAUCAUUUUUAAUGGUUGAUAUCUGCCGUUUUCAAAUUUAACGGUGUAGAAGUAUUAAAAUCGGAUGAAAUUUUGAUACAAAAUUGUUUAUACUAUUUACAACAAGAUCAAUAUUUCUGAUCAAAAAUUUUAAUGCUAUAUCACCCAUUUUUAUAGAAUUUUUAUUUUCAACCGUUAAAAAUUAUUGAUUUUGAAUCCUUUCGAUUGCUAAGUAAAUGAUAUCAAAAAAUCGCAAAAAUUAUUUUCUAGAAACUUCAAAUACGCCAGAUCAAGUCUGACGGAGCCGAUCGUCGAUUCGGAAAUUCCAUUAUCGAAAAUGGCUCAGGAGCACGGAGGCCUCCGUGCUCUUGAGAGCACAGCAGCCCUACUAUAUAUAUAUUUCGAGCCUAAUUCGAACGAGCCUCGUGAUAUUCAAGCUCAGAUUGAAAUUAAUUUCGAGCCUAAAUUUAGGCUCAAGUUUGGCUUGAAAUUAGUUCAAGCUGAGCUCGAGCGAGCCGAAUAUUGAGCCGAACAUGAGUCGAACACGAGCCAGCUCGCUCAUUUGCCUGCCCCAAAUAUGAAUAAGCAUUACAUGGACAGGCCAUUUACUCACGGUUUGUAUUAUUUUCGAAAUCUUGCACAUUUAUAUUUAAAAUGAUAAGCAUGUUGCCAAAUUAUCAUGUCACUAGAGUUGAGAGGUGGUUAAAAUCUUAUAUAUUCUUAUAAAAUAUUUAAAUAUUAUAAAAUAUUAUUUUUAUUAAAUUUAAGUUUAAGUAGAAUUUUAAAAAUUAUAAAUUUAUUAAUAAUAAAAAUUUUAAAUUUAUAUAAUUUAAAAAUUCAAAUUUAAAUAUAAUAAGAAAGGUAAUAUCAUUAUUUUUUUAUUGAUAACUACCAACUUUAAUUCUUAUUCCAUCUUAUCUAACCAAACGUUAUUUUUUUUUAUUCUUAGGAAUAACAUAAUUUUUAUCUAAACGCAAAAUUGAACUAGUCCCCGCUUAUACCUCAAUUUAUACAUAUUCCUGAAAUAGCCACUUUUUGCUUAUUCCCGAACCAAACAAUAUCUUAAGUUCUUUUUAAUUAUGGAGCUUUCAAAUCGAUGAUCUAUAGCAUUAAAUAUGAUCUUAUAGUAUUUGAAAUAUCUAAAAAAUAAAUUUUGUAAUCUUCUAAAUUAUAAUAAAGUAUAUCAAUUUGGCAUAAAAUAAAUGGUUGAAAUUGAACGACAUACUAAAGAUGGAUGAUCGGAUCCUUCAAUUUAAGCUUAGAGUUAUUAAUCUUUAUCUAAAUAGUAAAUAAAAUUUUCUUUCAUAAAUUUAGUAAAUUUUGAUUCUUUUACACAGUUAAAUUAGCAAGUAAUUAUAUACCGGCCGUUAAAAUUUUAUUAAUUUUAAAAUUUUUUUUACCAUUAAUUUCUACCUGUUAUAUUAUAUAAUUCAAUUAAACACUCACUCAAUCCUAGGGGACAACUGUCAUCCUAACCGUAUAUCUCUUAAUUUAAGGGCUGGCAACCUACAAGCACCAAUAACUUGGUAUUUUGAGAGCGAAGCUUUUUACAUUUUUAUGUAUACAGGUAUUUCUAUUGCUUCAUCGGAAAUAAAUUGGUAGCAAUCAUGGACAAAUAUUGCUAAGAAGCAAAGAAAUCAUGGACAACUAUUGGGAGAUCAAAUCUUUUUUGUGAUAUAUAUAUUCUGAUAAAUGAUUCGGUACUUUUUUUUACAAAAAAUAAAAAUAAUCUUAACCGUUGAUUAAUAGAGGGUAAAAAUGUAACUUUAAUACUUAGCAGGUAAAAGGAUUAUUUUAUUCAAGGUUAGUUUGGUAAUUAAAUAAUACAAUAUUUAAAGAAACUUUUAAUUAAGGUCCUAAAUUUAUGCAUAAAUUAGCACUAAUUUAGGAAAUUAAUUGAUUAACCAAAUUUAUGAAAUUAUUAGGCAUUAAUUUAGGAAUCUACUUUAAAUGUUUUAGUGUUUCUCAAAUUAUGCAUUAAUUUAAAUUAUAGAAAUUUUAGAAAUAGUUUUAUUUCUAAAUACGAUGAAUUUAAAUUUUAAAAAUUAAAUACUUAAAAUUUAAAAACAAAAUUUAAAUUAGAGGAAUUUUAUAAAUUUGGUUAAUCAAUUAAUUUCCUAAAUUAGUACUAAUUAAUGCAUAAAUUAAGAUCACUACUAAAACCUUUGUAUAUAUUAUAAAAUGUACCGAAUCAUUUCUCUAAUUAGUUUUACUUCUCCAUAAAAAAAUGAACAAUUUUUUACGAUCAUUUUUAGCGAAAUAUUGCACUUAACGGAAUAUAUAUUCAUUACUCGACAACUUUUUAAAUUUUUUAAAAUAUACUAUGGUUUUGGUAGUGAUUAUAAAAUUGAAAGUUUUCUUAGUUUUCGCUUUUGGCCCCAAUUUUUUUUUGUUCUCUCAAGAUAAAUGCAUCAUUAAUCUCCGAUCUUUAGAUUUAUUUAUUUUUUUAAAAACAGAAACUCUAAUUUAAGAAUUUACCAAAAAAUUUUGUCGCUGCUUCUGAAUAGCUCUACUCAACAACUCUUCUUGCAUUUCUUCCUUUUCUCAAGAUAAAUGCAUCAAUAAUCUUCAAUCUUUAGACUUAAUUAUUUUCGACAGUAAAAACUCCNAAUUAGAGAAAUUUUAUAUUACUAUUUAAAGUUUAAAUUCAAUGAUCAUAUUGUCAAAUUAUUUGAAAUUUUUCUUAUAUGAAAUGCCAAAUUAUGAAAGGAAAGAUAGAGAGAACAAAAGGAAACAAAGAAAAAAUAAAAAUUUUGAAAAUAUAGUAGAUGUAAAAUGACUAAAUUGCCUAUGUAUUAAAAGAUAAAAAUAUCCUUUUUUGAGGUAUCUGGUAACCGGUACCUCUCCCAAAGUGACCUGCUAUUGCAGGUCACAAUUUUUAAAAAACUAAAUCUGAAUCGUUGAAUACGCGUGAAUGAACGGUAACAAAAAAAAAAAAAAAAGUAUCGAAGCAUUACUCAUAUAUUCUCUAUCUUUGCUUAAUUAAUCUGGAAGAGAUGCCUGACCUCUUGAGAGCACUAAGAAAAUUCUACAAAUGAUUGUAAUAAGGUUAGUACCACAAAAAUCUCACAUUUGGAAUAAAAUCUUAAAAAUAUCAAAUCACACCCCUCAUCUUCCAGCAAGGAGAAACAUGAGCGGAGCAGCUCCUCCUCCUUAAUUCCCAACUUUCCUCAGGUUCCUAUAGAGGUGUAUCCCAAGCUCCAAGCUUCAAACCCCAACAAUGUAGGAAACGACUUCUUCCCCGUUUAGAGAGAGAAAGAAGAGAACGGGAGAGUGCAAAAGAGAAAUAAGAGGGAGGGUAAGAUUCCUCAAAUGAGACCCUUUCACUUCUCCUUUAGGGUGCGUUUGGUUCGCGCUAUUUUUUAAAAAUUCUUAAUAAUCUAAUAGGAAUAAAAAAAUAUGACGGUGUUUGGCUAAACGCACUAAGUAAUCUAGUUGGUAACAUUAGAUUCACUUGGGAAUAAGAUUCACCCCAAAGUACUAAUCUCAUUCUCUUGAGGGAGGAUGGAUAUCCUCAUAUUAAUGGAUUGGGAUAAUCAUAAUAUAUCUAAUCUUUUUCUUUUUUCUUACCCGCUAGCUAAUUGAUGUUAUUUUUCUUUACACUCUAAUCUUAUUUCUCUCUCUAAACUUAUUUUUCUCUCCAAAAUUUAACCUUGUUUUCUCUUUCUAAACUAAGCUUUCUCUCUCUCUCUUUCUAAAAUUUCAACUCUCUCACUCCCUCUAGUUUCGACUAUAUUUUUCUUUCUAUUUUUUUAAUUAUGCUCUCGCUCUCUAACUUAUACUCUCUCUUCUUUUUUUCUAAAAAGAUGUUGAAACUAUUGUUAACAUUAUCUAAAAUUAAUUAAAUAAAUUAAUUAAUUAAUUGUAUAUUUUUUGUAAUAUUAAAUAACAUGGCUAAUUAAUAUUACUGUGCGAACCAAACACAGAAAUUCCACAUUCUUAGUAAUAGGAUGAAUAAGAAUAAGAUUCUCUAAUAUCUUUUAUUACUAGUAAUCUUUCAUAAUGCGAACCAAACGCACCCUUAGAUUCACAUU
rnacentral:lncRNA from 1 species